rnacentral:rRNA from 1 species
CACCGCGGUUAUACGAGAGGCCCAAGUUGACAAAUACCGGCGUAAAAUGUGGUUAACAUAAUAAUACACUAAAGCUAAACAUCUUCAAAGCUGUUAUACUCUUAUGAAGACAGGAAGCACUUCUACGAAAGUGGCUUUAAGUAAUGCUACCCACGAAAGCUAGGAAA